rnacentral:rRNA from 1 species
UACGUAGGGGGCUAGCGUUGUCCGGAUUUAUUGGGCGUAAAGAGCGUGUAGGCGGCCAGGUAGGUCUGCUGUGAAAACUCGAGGCUUAACCUCGAGAUGUCGGCGGAAACCAUCUGGCUAGAGUCCGGAAGAGGAGAGUGGAAUUCCUGGCGUAGCGGUGAAAUGCGCAGAUAUCAGGAAGAACACCCGUGGCGAAGGCGGCUCUCUGGGACGGUACUGACGCUGAGACGCGAAAGCGUGGGGAGCGAACAGG